rnacentral:rRNA from 1 species
UACGGGGGGGGUAAGCGUUGUUCGGAAUUACUGGGCGUAAAGGGCUCGUAGGCGGCCAACUAAGUCGGACGUGAAAUCCCUCAGCUUAACUGGGGAACUGCGUCCGAUACUGGAAGGCUUGAAUCCGGGAGAGGGAUGCGGAAUUCCAGGUGUAGCGGUGAAAUGCGUAGAUAUCUGGAGGAACACCGGUGGCGAAGGCGGCAUCCUGGACCGGCAUUGACGCUGAGGCGCGAAAGCCAGGGGAGCAAACGGG